rnacentral:rRNA from 1 species
GAUGAACGCUGGCGGCGUGCCUAGUACAUGCAAGUCGAGCGAACGGACGAGAAGCUUGCUUCUCUGAUGUUAGCGGCGGACGGGUGAGUAACACGUGGAUAACCUACCUAUAAGACUGGGAUAACUUCGGGAAACCGGAGCUAAUACCGGAUAAUAUUUUGAACCGCAUGGUUCAAAAGUGAAAGACGGUCUUGCUGUCACUUAUAGAUGGAUCCGCGCUGCAUUAGCUAGUUGGUAAGGUAACGGCUUACCAAGGCAACGAUGCAUAGCCGACCUGAGAGGGUGACCGGCCACGCUGGAGCUGAGCCACGGUCCAGACUCCUACGGGAGGCAGCAGUAGGGAAUCUUCCGCAAUGGGCGAAAGCCUGACGGAGCAACGCCGCGUGAGUGAUGAAGGUCUUCGGAUCGUAAAACUCUGUUAUUAGGGAAGAACAUAUGUGUAAGUAACUGUGCACAUCUUGACGGUACCUAAUCAGAAAGCCACGGCUAACUACGU